GAUGAACGCUAGCUACAGGCUUAACACAUGCAAGUCGAGGGGCAGCAUGGACAUAGCUUGCUAUGUUUGAUGGCGACCGGCCCACGGGUGCGUAACACGUAUCCAAUCUGCCCGUUACUCGGGGAUAGCCUUCUGAAAGGAAGAUUAAUACCCGAUGGCAUGUAUUUCCGGCAUCGGAGAUACAUUAAAGAUUUAUCGGUAACGGAUGGGGAUGCGUACGAUUAGCUUGUUGGCGGGGUAACGGCCCACCAAGGCAACGAUCGUUAGGGGUUCUGAGAGGAAGGUCCCCCACACUGGAACUGAGACACGGUCCAGACUCCUACGGGAGGCAGCAGUGAGGAAUAUUGGUCAAUGGUCGGAAGACUGAACCAGCCAAGUAGCAUGAAGGAUGACUGCCCUACGGGUUGUAAACUUCUUUUGUUUGGGAAUAAAAGACGCUACGUGUAGCGUUCUGCAUGUACCUUACGAAUAAGCAUCGGCUAAUUCCGUGCCAGCAGCCGCAGUAAUAC
rnacentral:rRNA from 1 species